rnacentral:rRNA from 1 species
AUGCAUACAGGCGGCGCCGCCGCGGGCGCUCCUCGAUCCAUACGGGCGGCGCCACCACCACCUGCGGCUGGUCUUCUUGUCCAGCCAUCUACCGCCCUUCUCCCCUUCCCAUUCGCUGCCCUCCUCUACCCUCCCGCCCCUAAUCUUAUCUGGCACUACCCCCAGCCUCCUGCUGCCGUGCCUCGAUCCAUACGGGCGUCACCGCCGGCGGGGGGCGGUCUUCUUCUCCGGCCAUCCGCCGCCCUCCUCCCCUCCCCCUCCCUCCUAAUCUUCUUCUUCUUCUCUGGCCAUCCGUCGCCCUCCUCAAAUCCCGCGGAGUUUGCCGGAGGAAAACCAUCCGUCGUCCGAACGUGCCACACCAGAGGGAAGCACCGGAAAGAGGAUGUUUCUAUGCAGCAUAACCCAAAAGUUUAA